UACGAAGGGGGCUAGCGUUGUUCGGAAUUACUGGGCGUAAAGCGCGCGCAGGUGGUCUUUCAAGUCAGUGGUGAAAGCCCGGAGCUCAACUCCGGAAAUGCCAUUGAAACUGUCAGACUUGAGGAUGAGAGAGGUGAGUGGAAUUCCCAGUGUAGAGGUGAAAUUCGUAGAUAUUGGGAAGAACACCGGUGGCGAAGGCGGCUCACUGGCUCAUAUCUGACGCUCAGGCGCGACAGCGUGGGGAUCAAACAGG
rnacentral:rRNA from 1 species